rnacentral:rRNA from 1 species
CACGAAGGGGGCUAGCGUUGCUCGGAAUUACUGGGCGUAAAGCGCACGUAGGCGGCUCUUUAAGUCGGGGGUGAAAUCCUGGAGCUCAACUCCAGAACUGCCUUCGAUACUGUAGAGCUUGAGUUCGGGAGAGGUGAGUGGAACUGCGAGUGUAGAGGUGAAAUUCGUAGAUAUUCGCAAGAACACCAAUGGCGAAGGCGGCUCACUGGCCCGAUACUGACGCUGAGGUGCGAAAGCGUGGGGAGCAAACAGG